rnacentral:tRNA from 1 species
GAGAAAUUAGUAAAACAAUUACAUCACUUUGUCAAAGUGAAAUUAAAGGUUAAACUCCUUUAUCUCUCC